AAGAGUUGGACACGACUGAGCAACAGAACUGAACUGAACUGAUCCAGGUUAAAAAAAUUUCCAAUGGGUUUAUAACUGAUUCUAAACCAUUAUAACAAGUAUAAGGAGCAUACAUGUCCACAUUUUGUCUGCAAAUUUCCCUCCACCACAUUCAGAGUGCACUUGUAGAAACUUACUGAUGCUAAUUCUGAUUCCUCUUUUUAUCAAUAGGUACCAGCACCUGCUAUACACACAGAGCAAUAAAAUGGUGUGUAUGAUGAUUAUAAAAGGUGGUCCAUGUAUAACGCUUGUUUUCCUCUUUUUGACUUACUUCACUCUGUAUAACUGACUCUAAGUUCAUCCACCUCACUACAACUGACUUAGAUCCAUUCCUUUUUACAACUGAGUAAUACUCCAUUAUAUAAGUGAACCACAACAACUUCUUUAUACAUUCAUCUGUCAAUGGAUAUCUGGAAUCUAGAAAUAUGGUACUGAUGAACCUAACAGAGAAUGGACCUGUGGACAAAGCAGGAGAAGAUGGGAAAGCCAUUGAUGUCAGAGACUGUAUCUUACUCAUCUCUUGUUCCCUGGCACCUAGCCAAGUGCUCAGAACAUAAAUAUUUGGUGCUUGGGCUGAAAAGAAGGAAGACAAAAGAGACAGAAAUACGGAAAGAAGGGAGUUGCCUUCUCUGAAGCUGUGGACCAUCAUCCAUUUCCCUACCAGACUGAGAGCACAGGUGGCUGCUUCCAGCCAGGUAGGAACCAGCACAUCAGUUAAUACUCUGAAGAUGGCUGCAGCAUGAGAUUUUAUUUAGCCACCAUCUUUCUUCAUUAUAUCUUGCUAUUUCUCUCCACUCCUGUCCCACAGCUUCUACAGGUGCAAUUGAGAUUUGAAGUAAAAUACACAGUUUAUUUAUUCCUGUCAACAUCAUCUUUCUCAUACAGAUAAAGCAUCUUCAUUUCUAGAAUAUUGUUUUGAGACUUACUCAUAUUUAUGAGAUCACUCAGACUUGUGUCAUCUGCAGAUCUUAACCUAAACAAAGACAUUCUCUUCCAAAGGAAGAUUUACAAGAAGUCUGCCUAGAGGAAGUGAGAUGCUCCAGAUGACCCCUGAAAAUCCCUGCCAGGUUGUGUUUUGAAUUUCCCAUAACAUUUCAUUACGUAAAACAGACCCAUUAGCUGUGUUUACUCAGGCACAUGGAACAAAAUUGAGACA